CAGCAGCACGGUAAUACAGAGGGUGCGAGCGUUAAUCGGAUUUACUGGGCGUAAAGCGUGCGUAGGCGGCUUCUUAAGUCGGAUGUGAAAUCCCUGAGCUUAACUUAGGAAUUGCAUUCGAUACUGGGAAGCUAGAGUAUGGGAGAGGAUGGUAGAAUUCCAGGUGUAGCGGUGAAAUGCGUAGAGAUCUGGAGGAAUACCGAUGGCGAAGGCAGCCAUCUGGCCUAAUACUGACGCUGAGGUACGAAAGCAUGGGGAGCAAACAGGAUUAGAUACCCCAGUAGUCCCUGUCUCUUAUACA
rnacentral:rRNA from 1 species